rnacentral:misc_RNA from 1 species
UUUCCGUAGGUGAACCUGCGGAAGGAUCAUUAAUGACUUGUCAUGGGGUUCGAUGCUGGCAGCCAGUUUUUGGAUGCAUGUGCUUGCCCUAACAAUCAUCUUCUUCCAAACACCUGUGCACAUUUUUGAGGGAGUCUUGAGUUGGUUGCCGCUCUUGGGUGAUUUUCUCACAUUCCCUUAAAUCAUUAUACGCUAUUAACAAUGUUGAACGUGCUCUGUGCCGCAAGGCCAUUAAUAUAAUACAACUUUUAACAACGGAUCUCUUGGCUCUC